GAGGCAUUUUAAACAGGGGUAUCUAUCUGGGUCCCAUUACAUCCAUUUUCUAAGGCCACAGAUAAGAUUAAUCGGAUUUUCUUGGGUGGUUUUUCCUUUCAAGAUGCAAAAGCCGUGUAAAACUAUAUCACUGGGAUGGUGGGAUCGCAAAACAGUCCAUGAAAAUCUCACAUUCACUUACAUGGGAUGCUUUUUAAACAGGGGAACGGGGGCACCCAUGUUUAAUUAAGGAUACGGGCUACUGUCACAGGUUAAAGCUAUUCACACACGAUCACACGCUUCACUAACUCACUCAUUACAUCCAGGCGGUGUUUCAGGUCUUAAAAGUGUCUAGAAAGUACUAAAAGUUUCGCCCACUGUCCACUGUCACGGGUCAAGGCUUUCUCUCUUCACACGAGGUCACACGCUUCACUAACUCACUAAUUACAUACACGUUGUCUCUCUUCACACAAGGUCACAAGCUUCACUAGCUCACAGGUCAAGGCUCUCUUCGCACAAGGUCACAAGCUUCACUAACUCACAGGUCAAGGCUCUCUUCGCACAAGGUCACAAGCUUCACUAACUCACAGGUCAAGGCUCUCUUCGCACAAGGUCACAAGCUUCACUAACUCACAGGUCAAGGCUCUCUUCGCACAAGGUCACAAGCUUCACUAACUCACAGGUCAAGGCUCUCUUCGCACAAGGUCACAAGCUUCACUAACUCACAGGUCAAGGCUCUCUUCGCACAAGGUCACAAGCUUCACUAACUCACAGGUCAAGGCUCUCUUCGCACAAGGUCACAAGCUUCACUAACUCACAAGUCAAGGCUAUCUUCGCACAAGGUCACAAGCUUCACUAACUCACAGGUCAAGGCUAUCUUCGCACAAGGUCACAAGCUUCACUAACUCACAGGUCAAGGCUCUCUUCGCACAAGGUCACAAGCUUCACUAACUCACAGGUCAAGGCUAUCUUCGCACAAGGUCACAAGCUUCACUAACUCACUAAUUACAUCCAGGCAGUGUUUCAGGUCUUAACAGUGUCUAGAAAGUACAAAAAGUCGUAAAA